rnacentral:piRNA from 1 species
UAAUUUGCCCGUUUGAGUAUU